ACCCACUAAUCAAUGACUCAAGGGGGCACUAUCUGGGAAACGCAUACUCCGUGAGAGAAGCAGGACCGACACACACAGAGGCAUUGCGGGGCUCAGAGAAGAACAGUGUAGAAACCCGCGCUGUGUGAAGCGAGACUCUUCACCAUGGAGUCCACCGCCUCCUGCACCCGGAGCUGCUGCAGCUCCGCCAUGGCGACCCCGCGCUGCCCCGCGGCGCUCCGCGCCGGCGCCCAUAUGGAAUCGGCGUACGUGCCCGCCCCCUCACCGCCCUUCGCCGUCCUUCGCCGCCCGCCCUUCCAGGGCCCACGCCCCACCUGGCGGCCGAACGGAGCCACUGCAUGCUGGUGUCCGCGAGCCCACCGCCCUCCUCCCGCUUGGGAACCGGUCACCGGGACACCUGCCCUGCGGAUGCUGCUUGCCUUUCCUCUUCCCCUCCCUUGAUCCCUCCCUUUACAUUCUUUAAAAUUAUUUAAUGUAAUUUACAUACAGAUAAAUGCCCAGAUCUUA